rnacentral:rRNA from 1 species
AGAGUUUGAUCCUGGCUCAGAACGAACGCUGGCGGCAGGCCUAACACAUGCAAGUCGAACGCGACCUUCGGGUCGAGUGGCGCACGGGUGAGUAACGCGUGGGAAUCUGCCCUGUGGUACGGAAUAACAUCGGGAAACUGGUGCUAAUACCGUAUAUCCCCUGAGGGGGAAAGAUUUAUCGCCAUGGGAGGAGCCCGCGUAGGAUUAGCUAGUUGGUGAGGUAACGGCUCACCAAGGCGACGAUCCUUAGCUGGUCUGAGAGGAUGAUCAGCCACACUGGGACUGAGACACGGCCCAGACUCCUACGGGAGGCAGCAGUGGGGAAUAUUGGACAAUGGGGGAAACCCUGAUCCAGCCAUGCCGCGUGUGUGAUGAAGGCCUUCGGGUUGUAAAGCACUU